rnacentral:rRNA from 1 species
GAUGAACGCUGGCGGUAUGCUUAACACAUGCAAGUCGAACGGACUCUUCGGAGUUAGUGGCGGACGGGUGAGUAACGCGUGAGAAUCUGGCUUUGGGUUCGGGACAACCACUGGAAACGGUGGCUAAUACCGGAUGUGCCGAGAGGUAAAAGAGAAAUUGCCUGAAGAUGAGCUCGCGUCUGAUUAGCUAGUUGGUGAGGUAAAGGCUCACCAAGGCAGCGAUCAGUAGCUGGUCUGAGAGGAUGACCAGCCACACUGGGACUGAGACACGGCCCAGACUCCUACGGGAGGCAGCAGUGGGGAAUUUUCCGCAAUGGGCGAAAGCCUGACGGAGCAAUACCGCGUGAGGGAAGAAGGCUCUUGGGUUGUAAACCUCUUUUCUUAGGGAAGAACAGAAUGACGGUACCUAAGGAAUCAGCAUCGGCUAACUCCGUG